rnacentral:rRNA from 1 species
GAUGAACGCUGGCGGCGUGCUUAACACAUGCAAGUCGAACGAAGCACUUAAGACAGAUUCUUCGGAUGAAGUCUUUUGUGACUGAGUGGCGGACGGGUGAGUAACGCGUGGGUAACCUGCCUCAUACAGGGGGAUAACAGUUAGAAAUGACUGCUAAUACCGCAUAAGCGCACAGGGUCGCAUGACCUGGUGUGAAAAACUCCGGUGGUAUAAGAUGGACCCGCGUCUGAUUAGCUUGUUGGUGAGGUAACGGCCCACCAAGGCGACGAUCAGUAGCCGGCCUGAGAGGGUGAACGGCCACAUUGGGACUGAGACACGGCCCAAACUCCUACGGGAGGCAGCAGUGGGGAAUAUUGCACAAUGGGGGAAACCCUGAUGCAGCGACGCCGCGUGAGUGAUGAAGUAUUUCGGUAUGUAAAACUCUAUCAGCAGGGAAGAUAAUGACGGUACCUGACUAAGAAGCACCGGCUAAAUACGUGCCAGCAGCCG